CACACCGCCCGUCACACCAUGGAAGUCUGCUGCACCAGAAGUAGGUAGUCAAACCGCAAGGGGGGCGCCUACCACGGUGUGGCCGAUGACUGGGGUG
rnacentral:rRNA from 1 species